AUUGAACGCUGGCGGCAGGCCUAACACAUGCAAGUCGAACGAGUGGCGGACGGGUGAGUAAUGUCUGGGAAACUGCCUGCUGGAGGGUGAUAACUACUGGAAACGGUAGCUAAUACCGCAUACCAUCGAAUGUGCCCAGAUGGGAUUACCUAGUAGGUGGGGUAAAGGCUCAACUAGGCGCCGAUACCUAGCUGGUCUGAGAGGAUGACCGGCCACACUGGAACUGAGACACGGUCCAGACUCCUACGGGAGGCAGCAGUGGGGAAUAUUGCAAAAUGGGCGAAAGCCUGAUGCAGCCAUGCCGCGUGGAUGAAGAAGGCCUUCGGGUUGUAAAGUACUUUCAGCGGGGAGGCGUUACCCGCAGAAGAAGCAACGGCUAACUCCGUGCCAGCAGCCGCGGUAAUAC
rnacentral:rRNA from 1 species